rnacentral:rRNA from 1 species
UACGUAGGUGGCAAGCGUUAUCCGGAUUUACUGGGUGUAAAGGGCGUGUAGGCGGGACUGCAAGUCAGGCGUGAAACCCAUGGGCUCAACCCAUGGCCUGCGCUUGAAACUGUGGUUCUUGAGUGAUGGAGAGGCAGGCGGAAUUCCGUGUGUAGCGGUGAAAUGCGUAGAUAUACGGAGGAACACCAGUGGCGAAGGCGGCCUGCUGGACAUUAACUGACGCUGAGGCGCGAAAGCGUGGGGAGCAAACAGG